UAUAAGCAUCAGCAACAGUAGAGUGGUUCGGCAACUUGAACUCAACUCAGUUGACGUCAAGUCGGAGCAUAGCAGCAUUACAGUAGAUGAGACAAAGUGAGAAUAAGAGGAAGAGAGAGAGAUAUAAGGGGCAUACAAAACAGCCAUGCGAAACCUGCUGCACUGCUUGAAGAUGGCACACCACAAGUAACAAUACAAAUUAUUAUCGAGUCGAUGAAAAACUAAACUAGAAUAUUAAAUGUUGAUCGAUCUUUAAUAUUCAUCACGAGAAGUCGAUUUGAUGAUGCACUCGUGCUGUGAAGAUAAUGGAUCUGGAGUCAUUUUUAAUGAGAAAUUUAAAUUAAUAAUCUUUGUGAUAAAUAUUGACAAGUUAAUUUGAGUAAAAAGAUAAAAAAUAUUAAUUAUGUUAUGAAUUGUUUUUUUAUUUAUGAUGUUU